rnacentral:rRNA from 1 species
CCUACGGGUGGCAGCAGUGAGGAAUAUUGGUCAAUGGGCGCGAGCCUGAACCAGCCAAGCCGCGUGAGGGAUGAAGGUUCUAUGGAUUGUAAACCUCUUUUAUAAGGGAAUAAAGUGUGGGAAGAGUCCUAUUUUGUAUGUACCUUAUGAAUAAGGAUCGGCUAACUCCGUGCCAGCAGCCGCGGUAAUACGGAGGAUCCGAGCGUUAUACGGAUUUAUUGGGUUUAAAGGGUGCGUAGGCUGCCUUUUAAGUCAGCGGGGAAAGUCUGUGGCUCCACCAUAGAAUUGCCGUUGAAACUGGGGGGCUUGAGUAUGUGUGAGGCAGGCGGAAUGCGUGGUGUAGCGGUGAAAUGCUUAGAUAUCACGCAGAACCCCGAUUGCGAAGGCAGCCUGCCAGGCCAUGACUGACGCUGAUGCACGAAAGCGUGGGGAUCAAACAGGAUUAGAUACCCUAGUAGUC